UACGUAGGUGACAAGCGUUGUCCGGAUUUACUGGGCGUAAAGAGCGCGCAGGCGGUCGAUCAAGUCGAGUGUGAAAGCCCCCGGCUCAACUGGGGAGGGUCAUUCGAUACUGAUCGACUCGAAGGCAGGAGAGGGUAGUGGAAUUCCCGGUGUAGUGGUGAAAUGCGCAGAUAUCAGGAAGAACACCCGUGGCGAAGGCGGCUCUCUGGGACGGUACUGACGCUGAGACGCGAAAGCGUGGGGAGCGAACAGG
rnacentral:rRNA from 1 species